rnacentral:rRNA from 1 species
CACGUAGGGGGCAAGCGUUGUCCGGAUUUAUUGGGCGUAAAGAGCUCGUAGGUGGUUCGAUAAGUCGAGUGUGAAACCUCCAGGCUCAACCUGGAGACGCCACCCGAUACUGUCGUGACUAGAGUCCAGUAGGGGAGCGUGGAAUUCCUGGUGUAGCGGUGAAAUGCGCAGAUAUCAGGAGGAACACCGGUGGCGAAGGCGGGUCUCUGGGCCGAUACUGACGCUGAGGAGCGAAAGCGUGGGGAGCGAACAGG